GAUGAACGCUGGCGGCGUGCUUAACACAUGCAAGUCGAACGAAGCAAGAAGCGAAGCGCAAGCAGAGGUUCUUGACUGAGUGGCGGACGGGUGAGUAACGCGUGGAUAACCUGCCUUUCACAGGGGGAUAACAGCUGGAAACGGCUGCUAAUACCGCAUGAGCCUCUUUUAUCGCAUGACGGGAGAGGGAAAGAGAAAUCGGUGAGAGAUGGAUCCGCGUCCGAUUAGCUAGUUGGAGGGGUAACAGCCCACCAAGGCGACGAUCGGUAGCCGACCUGAGAGGGUGGACGGCCACAUUGGGACUGAGACACGGCCCAA
rnacentral:rRNA from 1 species